GUCUACGGCCAUACCACCCUGAACGCGCCCGAUCUCGUCUGAUCUCGGAAGCUAAGCAGGGUUGGGCCUGGUUAGUACUUGGAUGGGAGAAUAACUAAACAAUUCAAGAUAGGAUUUGAUC
ensembl:rRNA 5S_rRNA 5S ribosomal RNA